rnacentral:lncRNA from 1 species
UGAAAACCCAUGUUCUGUUGCAUACAAGCUUCCCAUGCAUGGAGAUGGUUUAGUGGAAGUCAGUAUCGUAAAUGACAAAGGCCAUUUUCUGAAGCCCCAAACCCCGGAUCCAUUUUAAUCACCCUUGGUGUUUUAUUAGAAUCAUCUCAGGGGGAAGUAGGAGCAAAAAGAGACAUCCUUAGAUGACCUGAAGAGUCAGCUAAAUGGCCUGCCAUCUCUCAUGAUUCUCCAUCACACUCAUUUGCCUCUCUUGCCGUCAUCUGCUUAUUUCCUCUUCUCCAUCUCUGACUCUGCCCAUGACCCUCUCAGGCCUGUUUGAUUUCCUUCUGGUGGGAGGGGAGAGUACCUUUCCAGACUAGCAACAAUUGGCUUCAGGGCCCUGCUCAGUACCUGUGCCCUCCUUACCCAGGCCUUACUUUCCUCCCAGCCCCUUGCCUACAACCUUAGUCAGAUUAUCAGAAACACUUCUAGUCAUUGACUAUGAGUAAAACAUCCACAAUCAUCAGAAACUAGCCCUCAUUGAGGGCCAGUUUAUCCUCACUCCCCACUACCAUGCUCCAUCAGGUUUUCUCCACUGCAAGGCCAACAGCCUCUAUCAUGAUGCUAAUUAUCUCCACCUUAGCACCUCAACUGUGAUGCCACUGUCCAUGCCAUAUCCCAGCAUGCUAACAAGGAGACUUACUCCACUCCUAUCCAAUGACUUGUUCAGCCCUUGAUCCAUGGAGAUAAGAAAUGAGAGCACCUUCUAGAAACCAACUUCCAAGCUUUGGCUUCCACAAGCACCCCACUGCCUAGCUCAUCUGCCCCACCCAGAUCUGAACACCAUGAGCAAGAUCAUCAGGAGUUUCCUGGGAGCCUUAACAAAAUUCUGAACAGUUUCCAUAAAGUGGGUAGAAGUGAGUAAAUGCAAGGCUUUCUGGAACCAUAUAAGACUAUAUAAAUUUUCUUUGUAAAUUAGGAGAACCAUAUUCAGUGGAAAUAGAAAUAGAAAAGACUUUGAAGAUUUGGCAGGUAAGUUAACUAGGUCAUUCCAGGGCUGUCUCUCAUAACCCUCUCAGUCCAGCCUCAGCCUCUGCUGUCACUAAUCUCUCCAUCUUGUCUCUGCCUUCUUCUCUGUGUCUCUCCUCUCUCUGGCCUACCUUAUCUUCCCCUCUCCCUACUUGCUUUUCCCCCAGACAUUAUAGAAGAGAGUUCCUUAGGUAGUAGGCUAGUCCAGAUGGCUUUGCAUUUCAACUGUUGCUCAAAGAGAGCUUGUUGGUUCCCCUACAGAUACAUAUUUAAGUGGAAUUUGGGGACUCAAAAGCACUCUUUGCUCUUCCUUCAACAUCACCUUCUCUUAGCUACCUCAGAGCUGCCCAGUCUGCACCCCUCCCAACAAAUGCCAAUCAUUCAAUGACUUGCUAAAAAGAGAGCACACAUUAGUGAGGGUAGGAAGGCCAAGGGAAAUGGAGUAUUGACAUCAGGAGUUUCAUUUUUUCUGUUCAGAACCUUGACGCACUGUACUAUGCACUCUCUAUUUAGGAGCCUCAGUUGAUACACACCCUGCUUGCCAAAUAGAAAAUUUAGAAGAGUCUUUUCCUCUCUUCCCUCAGAAAUUUGUGGUGCCUGAGUCGGUUGACAUUUGUGACAAUGAUUGUUGGGAAUUUCCAAUGGAGUCUUGAAUCUCACCACCAUUCCCUUUUCUUAGGAGAGACAACUAGGGGGGCUCCUCCCCAUGACCCCACCCCAGCAAUCAUGACAACUGUUAUGUAUAUCAUACAUGGUUCACCCAGGGCCUAACCAUGCCACAACCCAUUCUAGUUCUCACCUGUUCCCCUCUCUUUCACCUCACUUCUAACAGGCUCUAUUGAAGACACUUGGAAGGGCAGCCUCUCCCCAUGCCUACUUCCCAUCCUUUGGGUUUCCAGCUGCAGAACAUACCAGCACCCUCUCUCUUUAGUUCAAUUCUUCCCUCUCAUUCCCCCAAUGGAGGAGUGGUUUCUGCAGCUCUCAUAAUCACGGGGGGAGAGAAGCGGACAAGUAGAAUGGACUAUUUUCCUGGCACUCUUUUACUUCUCCACUCACUUCCUCCAACUGCCUUUGAACUACUAGACUUGAACGACCCCUCCCCUACCCUUCCAAAGGGAGCAAUAAUAAUAGCUAGCACUUACUGAGUGACAACUAUGUACCAAGCAUGAUUUGCUCAGCUUUUCUGGGACUCCAGCUCUCAGUCCCUGUGGCACUCUCUCUUUCCUUUGUCAAACUUUCCAUCUCUCAACUCCCUGUCUCAUCUCUCUUUAUCUCCAACUCCAUCUUCUAACCAGUUAUGGGGUGAUCCACUGUCAUUCUUCCAGAGGCCCCAUCUUAUGUGACUAGACCCUUCAAGGAUGGGCCACUCCAUCUCUAUGCUCAGACCAUCACUAGCUACUCUCAGGAAUUGUCUCAUGGUCCAGGCUACCCUUUUCACCAUCCAAGCCAGCUCUUACCACAACCACUGCCUCAUCACCCCACUGCCAGUUAGCCCCCGAUUCCUGGACCUUAAGAGUCCCCAGAAGUGACCCCAUCCUUUCCCCCAGGUCCCAGAACCUAUCCAGACCACAAGAAUGGCCACGGCAUUUCACACAGGUUACAAAAGCUGCAAUAAGCAUUUUUGACUCCAGCCUUCUGCUGCGUGACUCCUCUGUCCCCAUUCCCGGCCGCCUUUCCCCUCCCUCCUGCCCACUCACUUGCCCACCAACUGUUUAGCAAAGCAAAACCCCCUUUAUAAAAUGAUUCAUUCAAUAUGACACUCUCAUUUCUCCUGAAGGGUUCGUUUGUUCUUUUAGAGCCCCAAACGCAUUCCUUCUUUGGAAAUUUCUUUACACCCUUUACUGAGAAGACGCUGGAUUUUGAGUGUGAAAAAUGGCUGAAUCUACUUCGGAAAAAAAUAAAACCGUUACCCCAGGAUCUCGCAAAGCGAGAAUUGACUGGUAACUGCCAUCACGCUUCCAAGGCUCAUCAUUCACUGGGCUACUGACCUGUCAAUCACUUCUGCUAGGCCAAUGAGCAGCACCCCCUGACACAAACGGAGGUUGGAGGACAGGCCAAUCGCUCCCGGCUAUUUGAGCCAAUGGAGAAGUUCCUGAUGCCCACACCUGCUGGUCUCACCGCCAGGGCCUGGGCAUCACAGGCAGGGGGAAUGGGGAGGGGACGGUAGCGUCAGCCUACACCCACACGCAGUUUCCUGAUAAAAGGUCCUUUGGAAACUUUGAUUCUCUUCUCACCAAGUUGAACGGAGAUGUGUUCCCAUAGUAAGAGUGAGGCCCCUGCAUUUGCUGCCCUCGGUUUUCCCAACUAACACCAUGGCCUCCCCCCUGUACCCCAUUCAUACGCCUCAGAAGCUGACAAUGACUGUUGGGCUUUUCCAACGAAUACCAGAACACCAUUUCCUGCAGCCUGAAAAGAAGACAGUAUAAUUAUUUGGCAGCAAGAGGCCAAGCAGGAAACUAGAGAUAUGGUGAUGGUAGUGGUCCCAAGGAGGAGCUUUAACCUGAGCACCACCCACAGAAGGCAGACCACCCUCCCAGCCGCAGUGCAAAUGAAUGUUGGCCCCCACCCAGGUCCUCAAGUGCUUUCCCAGUCACGCCCCAGCUGCCCGGUUUUUUUCUCCAGGCCUACUACAGAUGGGUUACCCUGACUCCACCCCCAACACCCUCCAAUGAUUAGAACCACUGACUCCUCCCUCCCAUGCCUGCCUCCAUGGCAGGCCCCUGCAGAAACCAAACAUAGUCACCUUAGACUCUGGCAUACUGAGACCAGGGCUUGAUCCUGGCCCCCUUGCCUCCCUGGCAA